ensembl:snRNA U2 U2 spliceosomal RNA
AUCGCUUCUCGGCCUUUUGGCUAAGAUCAAAUGUAGUAACAUUUGAGAAUUUGAGAAAUUUUUUUUACUAAGUGAAAUUGUACUUGAAUAUAUUUAAAGAAAUAGUAUGUCAAGAGCUAUGUUUUCUUAAUAUGCUUACCCCUA